UCUUAGAGGGACUGGCACUUUACAUAAAGUGCCGAAGAAAGCAAUAACAGGUCUGUGAUGCCCUAAAUGUCCGGGGCCGCACGCGUGCUACAAUGACGAUGCAAAUGAGCAUGAUUAGCUGGUACGAAAGCAUUGGCAAACCUGUUCAAUCAUCGUCGUGACUGGGAUUGGGGUUUGUAAUUGUCCCCCAUGAACGAGGAAUUCCUAGUAAGCACAAGUCAUAAACUUGUGCUGAUUACGUCCCUGCCCUUUGUACACACCGCCCGUCGCUACUACCGAUUGAAUGGUUUAGCGAGGUUAUUGGAUUGACUUUCAUCAGCUCGCGCUGCUAUUAGCUAAGAAGAUGACCGAACUUGAUCAUUUAGAGGAAGUAAAAGUCGUAACAAGGUUUCCGUAGGUGAACCUGCGGAAGGAUCAUUAUCUUUAUAUAUUCCAUUCACUCUAUGUCAUUUACACAGAUCUUGAGGUUUCAUGCUUCUACUGGUGUAUUUGUCCUAUGCGCUCCUCAUGCUCUCCGUUUGGGCGUGACGCUUUGUUGCAGAAUGUUGGCUGAUAUGAGUCGUCUGGUUGUUCUAUAUAGCCAAGUGGCAGUGGUUACAUAUUUAGACAUUCAGAUGUUCCCUAUCCCUCUACAGUCAGCUCUGUCAUUGAU
rnacentral:rRNA from 1 species